CGGGGACAGCAGUGGGCAUGAGCAGGAGAUGGGAGUGGCCACACCCACGGAUUCUCCGGUCUCGGUGACAGUGGUGGCAGCCGGUCCUCGGAAGGCUCCUCUGCCUCCUCGCCUCCCCCAGCUGGCUUGAGUGUUCUGUGAGCCCCGCAUGAGCUCCGGAAGGGUUCAGGUGCGACUUGGUGACACUUGCAUGGAGGAUGUGGCAUUUGAGGCUGUGGUGCUGGAGAAAAUCACGGCCACCCUGCAGGGCGACAAUGGCCCCGAGCGGCUCCUCCAGCUGGCCAAGUCUGUGUCGUCCGUGCUGAACCAGGAGGGCCUGAGCCAGGGCUCCAGUGUGCUGCUGAGGACGGAUACCAGGCAGAAGGUCAGAGAGCAUGUGCUGAGGUCGCUGACCACAGUCACGGCCAGCCUGAAGGACAUGCAGAGGGUACAGAGGCUGGCCGAGGUGCUGAGAGAGCUGACCCACCACUGUGAGCUCAUGCCCACGGCCCAGCGGCAGGCCAGCCAAGCUCUGCACCGCGCCAGCGAGGCCCUGCUGCAGUCCGUCCUGAGGACCGGAGGCGCCAGGCGGCCGUCAGAGACCUGUUUGGGGCUGUGGGAAACGUACUGGAUGCCUCCCUGA
rnacentral:lncRNA from 1 species